ACGGCCAUACCACAUUGAAAACACCGGUUCUCGUUCGAUCACCGAAGUUAAGCAAUGUCGGGCCCGGUCAGUACUUGGGAGGGUGACCACCUGAGAACACCGGGUGCUGUAGGCU
rnacentral:rRNA from 1 species